GCACAAGCGGUGGAGCAUGUGGUUAAUUCGAUGCAACGCGAAGAACCUUACCUAGACUUGACAUCCCGGGAAUUCUUAGGAACUAAGAAGUGCCUUUCGGGGAGCCCGGUGACAGGUGCUGCAUGGCUGUCGUCAGCUCGCGUCGUGAGAUGUUGGGUUAAGUCCCGCAACGAGCGCAACCCCUAUCCUCAGUUGCCAUCAUUAAGUUGGGCACUCUGUGGAGACUGCCGGUGUCAAACCGGAGGAAGGUGGGGAUGACGUCAAGUCCUCAUGGCCCUUAUGACCAGGGCUACACACGUGCUACAAUGGCCGGUACAAAGAGUUGCGAUACCGCGAGGUGGAGCUAAUCUCAUAAAGCCGGUCUCAGUUCGGAUUGGAGUCUGCAACUCGACUCCAUGAAGUUGGAAUCGCUAGUAAUCGCGGAUCAGCACGCCGCGGUGAAUACGUUCCCGGGCCUU
rnacentral:rRNA from 1 species